CGGACGGGUGAGUAACACGUAGGUAACCUGCCCUUAAGUGGGGGAUAACAUUUGGAAACAGAUGCUAAUACCGCAUAGAUCCAAGAACCGCAUGGUUCUUGGCUGAAAGAUGGCGUAAGCUAUCGCUUUUGGAUGGACCCGCGGCGUAUUAGCUAGUUGGUGAGGUAAUGGCUCACCAAGGCGAUGAUACGUAGCCGAACUGAGAGGUUGAUCGGCCACAUUGGGACUGAGACACGGCCCAAACUCCUACGGGAGGCAGCAGUAGGGAAUCUUCCACAAUGGACGCAAGUCUGAUGGAGCAACGCCGCGUGAGUGAAGAAGGCUUUCGGGUCGUAAAACUCUGUUGUUGGAGAAGAAUGGUCGGCAGAGUAACUGUUGUCGGCGUGACGGUAUCCAACCAGAAAGCCACGGCUAACUACGUGCCAGCAGCCGCGGUAAUACGUAGGUGGCAAGCGCUAUCCGGAGUUAUUGGGCGUAAAGCGAGCGCAGGCGGUUUUUUAAGUCUGAUGUGAAAGCCCUCGGCUUAACCGAGGAAGCGCAUCGGAAACUGGGAAACUUGAGUGCAGAAGAGGACAGUGGAACUCCAUGUGUAGCGGUGAAAUGCGUAGAUAUAUGGAAGAACACCAGUGGCGAAGGGCGGCUGUCUGGUCUGUAACUGACGCUGAGGCUCGAAAGCAUGGGUAGCGAACAGGAUUAGAUACCCUGGUAG
rnacentral:rRNA from 1 species